rnacentral:rRNA from 1 species
ACGGGGCAGCAGUGGGGAAUAUUGCGCAAUGGGGGAAACCCUGACGCAGCAACGCCGCGUGAGUGAUGACGUAUUUCGGUAUGUAAAGCUCUAUCAUCGGGGACGAGACUGACGGUACCCGAAUAAGAAGUCCCGGCUAACUACGUGCCAGCAGCCGCGGUAAUACGUAGGGGACAAGCGUUAUCCGGAUUUACUGGGUGUAAAGGGUGCGUAGGCGGCAAAGCAAGUCAGAAGUGAAAGCCCGCGGCUCAACUGCGGGACUGCCUUUGAAACUGUUUGGCUAGAGUACUGGAGGGGCAAGCGGAAUUCCUGGUGUAGCGGUGAAAUGCGUAGAUAUCAGGAAGAACACCGGAGGCGAAGGCGGCUUGCUGGACAGAGACUGACGCUGAGGCACGAAGGCGUGGGGAGCAAACAGGAUUAGAUACCCUGGUA